rnacentral:rRNA from 1 species
CGGGGUGAGUAAUGUAUGGGGAUCUGCCUGAUGGCGGGGGAUAACUACUGGAAACGGUAGCUAAUACCGCAUAAUGUCUACGGACCAAAGCGGGGGACCUCCGGGCCUCGCGCCAUCAGAUGAACCCAUAUGGGAUUAGCUAGUAGGUGGGGUAACGGCUCACCUAGGCGACGAUCCCUAGCUGGUCUGAGAGGAUGAUCAGCCACACUGGGACUGAGACACGGUCCAG